rnacentral:rRNA from 1 species
UACGAAGGGGGCUAGCGUUGCUCGGAAUGACUGGGCGUAAAGGGCGCGUAGGCGGCUCAUACAGUCAGAUGUGAAAUUCCUGGGCUUAACCUGGGGGCUGCAUUUGAUACGUGUGGGCUUGAGUGGGGAAGAGGGUCGUGGAAUUCCCAGUGUAGAGGUGAAAUUCGUAGAUAUUGGGAAGAACACCGGUGGCGAAGGCGGCGACCUGGUCCUUGACUGACGCUGAGGCGCGAAAGUGUGGGGAGCAAACAGG